rnacentral:rRNA from 1 species
CCAAUAGUGUAUAUUAGAGUUGUUGCAGUUAAAAAGCUCGUAGUUGGAUUUCUGUCGUGGUCUUCCAGUUUCGCCUGUAUGGGUGUUUACUCGGUUAGCCCUCGGCAUUCUUCCGGUUCCUUCCCCGCUUCAUUGCGUGGUUGGGUUUUCCGGAACUUUUACUUUGAGAAAAAUAGAGUGUUUCAAGCAGGCUUUCGCCUUGAAUACUUCAGCAUGGAAUAAUAAGAUAGGACUUUGGUUCUAUUUUGUUGGUUUCUAGGACUAGAGUAAUGAUUAAUAGGGACAGUUGGGGGCAUUCGUAUUUAACUGUCAGAGGUGAAAUUCUUAGAUUUGUUAAAGACGAACUACUGCGAAAGCAUUUGCCAAGGAUGUUUUCAUUAAUCAAGAACGACAGUAGGGGGUUUGAAGACGAUUAGAUACCGUCGUAAUCUCUACCAUAAACUAUGCCGACUAGAGAUAGGGAAAUGCCUACCUUG